GACGAACGCUGGCGGCGUGCUUAACACAUGCAAGUCGAACGGUAAGGCCCUUUCGGGGUACACGAGUGGCGAACGGGUGAGUAACACGUGGGUAAUCUGCCCUGCACUUCGGGAUAAGCCUGGGAAACCGGGUCUAAUACCGGAUAUGAGCUCCUGCCGCAUUGUGGGGGGUGGGAAGUUUUUCGGUGCAGGAUGAGUCCGCGGCCUAUCAGCUUGUUGGUGGGGUAAUGGCCUACCAAGGCGACGACGGGUAGCCGGCCUGAGAGGGUGAUCGGCCACACUGGGACUGAGACACGUCCCAGACUCCUACGGGAGGCAGCAGUGGGGAAUAUUGCACAAUGGGCGAAAGCCUGAUGCAGCGACGCCGCGUGGGGGAUGACGGUCUUCGGAUUGUAAACUCCUUUCAGUAGGGACGAAGCGAAAGUGACGGUACCUGCAGAAGAAGCACCGGCCAACUACGUGCCAGCCGCCGCAGUAACAC
rnacentral:rRNA from 1 species